rnacentral:rRNA from 1 species
AACGAACGCUGGCGGCAGGCCUAACACAUGCAAGUCGAGCGGCAGCAUAGAGAGCUUGCUCUCUGAUGGCGAGUGGCGAACGGGUGAGUAAAGCAUCGGAACGUACCGUGUAGUGGGGGAUAACGUAGCGAAAGUUACGCUAAUACCGCAUACGCACUGAGGUGGAAAGCAGGGGAUCGCAAGACCUUGCGCUAUACGAGCGGCCGAUGUCAGAUUAGCUAGUUGGUAGGGUAAAGGCCUACCAAGGCGACGAUCUGUAGCGGGUCUGAGAGGAUGAUCCGCCACACUGGGACUGAGACACGGCCCAGACUCCUACGGGAGGCAGCAGUGGGGAAUUUUGGACAAUGGGGGAAACCCUGAUCCAGCCAUGCCGCGUGAGUGAAGAAGGCCU